rnacentral:rRNA from 1 species
AUGAUACAUAUUAAACUCAGAGAGCUACUUGCUGGUAAGAAGAUUCUUAUUGUCUUAGAUGACGUGUGGGAGAAGAAUCCAGAUACACUAAAAUCUCUGAUUGCUAUGUUAAGGGUUGGUGCGGGCAGCAUGGUGACAGUUAUCGUAACCACAAGAGAUGAAGCAAUUGCAAGGGAAAUUUGUCAUACAGUUGAGCCAUACGAGCUAGAGACUUUAACAGAUAAAAUCUGCUGGAAAAUAAUAAAACAGAAAACUGCCUUUAAAGAUCGAGUUGACAAAAACCAAUUGAAGCAUAUAGGAAGGGAGAUUGCAAUCAAAUGUGGGGGUGUGGCCUUAGCGGCUCAAUCACUUGGAUACACGCUGAAGGGGAAGACGCCUGAUGAGUGGGAGUCAGUAAGAGACCAUUAUAUCUGGAAUAUAUCUAUUUUGGAGGAAUCUUCGUCAAGAGAUCAUGAAGUGCUCGCGUCCAUGCUGAUAAGCUAUAGUCAUAUGCCUGAAUGCUUGAGGUCGUGA